UGUAGCAGCCUAGUUGGCCUCGACUGUAACACAAUAACUUUAUUUCUUUGGAAAUCCAUCACACUUGCUGCACCAUGGAUGGAGAUGAAAGCGUGUUUUUAGAUAUGGAUCCUACAACAGCCGCAGUAUUAAAAGCUGCCAAUAUUAGCGCAGACAUGCUUCCCACUCUUUCUAAGGAGGACUUGCGUGAUCUCUUUCGGGGGCCAGAGCACUUUUUCAGAAGGAGAGCCAUUUGGAAAGCUACGCAUGGUGAAAAUGAGGGUGAAGAGUCAGACAAGCUUUCACCAGGCACCUACUCUGGAACUUGUGAUGCUAGCUAUACUCCUACUCCAACCUCUUUAUCCAGCCCUUCUUCCUCCUCCACCCCAUUCCCAUCUUCAAAACCGGGAGACCAACAUA